UUGACGAUAAUAUAUAUU
rnacentral:sRNA from 1 species